rnacentral:rRNA from 1 species
UUGGAGGGCAAGUCUGGUGCCAGCAGCCGCGGUAAUUCCAGCUCCAAUAGCGUAUAUUAAAGUUGUUGCAGUUAAAAAGCUCGUAGUUGAAUUUCGGGGUUAGCAGGUCGGUCGUGCCAUUGGUAUGAACUGGUCUCGCUGAUCCCUCCCUCUUGACGAACUGUGAUGCCAUUAAUUUGGUGUCGCAGGGAAUCAGGACUGUUACUUUGAAAAAAUUAGAGUGUUUAAAGCAGGCUCACGCUUGAAUACAUUAGCAUGGAAUAAUGAGAUAGGACGUUUGAUCCUAUUUUGUUGGCUUCUAGGAUUGACGUAAUGAUUAAUAGGGAUAGUUGGGGGCAUUAGUAUUCAAUUGUCAGAGGUGAAAUUCUUGGAUUUAUUGAAGACUAACUACUGCGAAAGCAUUUGCCAAGGAUGUUUUCAUUAAUCAAGAACGAAAGUUAGGGGAUCGAAGACGAUCAGAUACCGUCGUAGUCUUAACCAUAAACUAUGCCGACUAGGGAUCGGAUGAUGUUAAUUUUUUAAUGACUCAUUCGGCGCCUUACGGGAAAC